GUGCUCACUUCACUAGCACAUAUACUAAAAUUGAAAUGAUACAGAGUUUAGCAUUGCCCCUGCACAAGGAUGACACACAAAUUCGUGAAAUGUUCCAUAUUUUU